GCAGGGAAUGUUUGUGGUGCCACCGCCAGUCAAGGACUCUGUUGCCACAGUAACGGGGACACUUCAUCAGCUCGAGAGCAGAUGUGAUCUGUCUCCCGUAGACUCCUUACUUAACCGUCUCCGCACCUCGUCUGCCCCCUUGAAGUGAGGUUUAAAUGUCAGGCUCCACCAUGGCCGACAGACCAGGCUGUGCUCGUCCAGUCCCCAGCAGUGCGACUACAGAUCCUGGAGACGUCCGGGGCUUCCCGACGCCGGCCAAGCAGCCUGGGCAGAGUAGGUGCGUGGGCUGGGGCCUCACGGUCACUGGGCACGGGCUGGGCUGGCUGUGUGUGGCCAGGCCCGGGAGGAGAGCCCCGCCCUGGGGCUGUGCCACCUCCAGGAGAGCCGGGCACACUUUCUCCUGCAGACGGCCUGCUGAACCAGGGUCUGCAGCCUGGGAGCAUGUCUCCACCCGGAGUGAUGAUGCAUGGGUCAGCGUCCACCUGCCCCCAUCACAGCUCUCUUCCUGGCCUGUCUGUGCUGCCGGGGUCCAAUUCCGCAGGUCUCAAAACUCACUGCUCACUGGUGCUCCGUACCAGCAUGGACACGGCUCUCCAGGGCCUGUUCCUCCCGAGGAAUGUCCUCAGGAGAUUCUGCUUGGGCUGCGGUGCCCCAGUCCUGAGUGGCCCUGCUGGGAGCCCCCCGGAGAGGCCUCCCAAACUGCCUCUGGGUGAGACACUGUGGAAGUCCGUGCCAGCUGGAAAGGGACCAGGAAGCGGUCUCAAUAGGUGUCCUUUCCAUAACAAAUGAGGAGAGCCGAACUCAAUUUGUUUAAAAACAAAGUCUGGCUUCCUUUGGUGGCACCCCCGACACCUGCCAGGUGCCUGCGAUGUGCCGAGAGAGCAGAGGGCCUCCUCUUUGCUCCUCCGAUCGCCCAGCAUCGAGCAGUGGAGGGCAUCUGGGUUGGGUCCCUCUGGGUGUCUUCUCUGAGGUCACUUGGGUUAGGAUGUCCAAGUUCACAUCACUCCCGGCUAAGCCGGACCACACAGGAACGUUCAAAGGGACAGGCCCCGUGUCUCCGCUGAUCGGCAAGGGUCUGAGGAAAUGCGUGUGGCUGAGAAAUUUUAUGGAUAAGCCGAAGACUGUGGCAUCCAGUUCCACGGCGGUAAGUGGGCUGGGACACCCUGUGUCCCUGGGGCCUUGCCACGCCACAGACAUUCCCGCUGUCAGUGGGCAGGACGGCAGGCGGGGGCUCUCUGGGGGUGUCUUCUGCCCUCUGGGGUGGUGUUGGCAGGGACCAGCUCUCUGGCCUGGACGACUCGGUGCUCUGUGGUCUGCAGGGAACCUGGAAGGUGCAGCACUGCGUGGCGGAGGGCGGGCCCAGGAAGCCCAUCCCCUCUGGCCUGAGCCCUCGGGCACACCUUGCACCCUGCCUAUCUCCUUGGGCACCAACGGUCACUUCAUUACUUAGCUUGGCCCUGCAGAGUGACACAGUGUGGACUGCACUCUGGAGCCACCGGGGCAGGACGGGGAGACAUAGAACACAGCUUUUGCCCACAUACACUCUGAGAACCAAGCCCACAGAACUGGAUUGUCACGCCCAAGUGUUUCGUUUGCAGUCAACUACGUCCCGGGCUGAUGGGUCUUCUGAGAUUCUACAGGAGGAGCAAGGGUUCCGAGGUACGUGUGGACAGCACCUUAUCUAUUUACUCUUCUCUACUGGUCCCUGUCUUCAGGGCCUGGCAGGGUGGGCUCGUGGCGCGGAGGGACGUGGAGGUGGCCUUCAGAGGGCCUCUCUGUCAUUUAACAGCCGGGCGUCCCAAAUGCCAGCACCCUCCCCCUGCGGCACCCCCCUCCCCCCCCCCCCCCCCGGGAGGCCUUAGGGAAGCCGGAUGCAGCGGUGAGGGCCAGAACCGGCUCAUCUCAGAGGCUGCCUGGGGACUGGACAUCCAGGUCACCUGGGUGACAGUGUGGACGGAUGUGGGCUGGCCUGUCCGGGGGACCAGAGCCUCCAGCGGGGCUGUGGAGCCGGGCUGCUGCUCUUCCCUGAGGCGCAGAGGGCGCAGGUUUCAGGCAUCCUUAUGGCCGGCCACGGAACAACUUCCUGAAGGUGGGAAAUGUCAGGAUAUUAUUUAGCAGUCUUUCUGCUGUUUAAAACUCAGAACGCUUUUCUCUCACGAUCCUUCAUCUGUCGCUCGGACUUUAGAAUCUUCAGUAACAACAAAAUCAAACACCACUAUAGAUGUGUGGUGAAUCGAGUGCCUGGCAUGCAUUCCGUGCUCAGUAAAUACUGACUGAAUAAACGUCCUCGACAUAAUUCACAGAAGACCCAAAAAGAACGUAGUGAGCCUCUGUUUCGUUUCAGAGCAACAACAUAGCUUUUCUUUGGUUUUGUAACAAAUGCACAGCCCGAGAGUACAGCCGCAGCCCCGUGAUGAGCCACAACUCCCCAGAGCCCUACCUGUGUGACGCCCUCCUGACCCGGCCACAUGCUGUGGCGUGCUCCUGGCUUUCUCCGGCUGGCCGGGGACCCCAGGAAGGGGCACCGUCUCCUGCCCUGCAGCCCCGGCGCCAGGCCCACAGUCGUUGCUCAAUACAUGUGAAGGAACAGGUGACUGAGUGGGGCCCCAGGAACCCCAGAGAAGAUGUCACCUUGCGUCUGCUGAGGACUGUUCUGUCUUAAAAACCAAGCUUCAGGUUGAGUUAAAAGAGACAGUUUUCUGUAGACGAAUGAAUGAAUGAUGACACUGACGGGAAGACGGCUGGCAUCUAGAGAGGUUUCGCGGCUUCAGGGAGUUUACGGAGAGCAGAUGUGACUCCAGUGGGCUUCACUUCGUUCAGACGCAUUCAUGUGACGGCUGGCGCCUGAGACACAGGUACGCGGGUUGGUGCAUUUAUCUCUUUCCUGUGAAACGUUCUUCCUGGAUGCCUUUUGCCGACGGUUUUCACGAACAUGUUUUCCAUUGGGAGACUAAAUGAAGACAGGCCAUUCUGGCAGUUGGGACGCACGCCUCCCGGCCCCGUUUGGGGGUGGGGUGGGGGUGGGGGUGGGGUGGAGGGCUCCUGGCGAGGCCUGCUCCUGAUGGGCUGGUGUGUGGCCUGCAGCUCACUGUCCUCCCAAAGUCACACUACAGUUUCAGUGGACUGUCAUUCGUGCUCUUUCCAAAUGAACAGGAUGUGCAGGGAUGUGCCAGGCAGGGGGAGAGCCUGAACUGUGGGGUGGUGCUAUCCUCAGGUGCCGUGGGACGGGGCGGGGGGGGAUCACCUGCAGAGCAGCGGGGUCUGUGUCCGAUCGACUCCCUUCAUGCUCUGCGGCGAGCAGUCCCAGGAGGCUGCCUUUCCAUCCGUAACCCGUAUCAGGCUUUGGAACGUCUCAUGGGUACUUGGCACACGAUUAAUUCCGCAAUUGUGUGUUUUCUCAGCUAGCUUUAAAGUUAGCUCCCUUUUCCUGAGCAAAUGCCAGCGGGCACAGGCAGAGCCGAGCACGCCAAGCAGUCCGGGGGUGCGGCUGUAGGGUGAGUUGCACAGGAUCCCCGGGGACCAGAGCACCCCACCCUAUAUCCUCCACUCACAGGCUGAAGGGGAGGGACCCUGGGGACACCAAGUGCCAUGGCCUUGGCCUCCUGUCCACCUCUGCCUGAACCGAACCGAGAUGCACAAGUGGUCACAGGAAGGGUUAAGCUUCAGGGCCCAAGAGGAUUUCAAAGCCAACCAUGGAUCCUGGACAUAUUUCUGUGGGUCCCAAGAGCAUCAAGGCUAUUAGCUGGGCCACAGAGGAAGGGGAUGACCUCUUAGGUCUGGCUGGCCAAGAGGCAGGAGGCAGAUCCACGUUGCUCUGUCAACUGCCUGUGGUGGGCCCGUGGCCUGCACUGCAGAAGGGGUCUGCACAGGUCUCAGGGCCAGCACCUGCACCAUGACGGGGUCUGCACAGGCCUCUGGGCCCGGACAGGCCCACUCACACCAACACUGGCGCGUGGGGGCCUGGUGCCCCACAGUGACAGGGCAGGCACCUGAGGACGCCUGCCCCUGCUCAAUGCUGGGCUACACAUGUGAGGGGUUCACUUGGACAGCAAGGGCCAGCCUGCACCCCAGCCCCUCCAGGCCACCCCUGGGCACCUGCCAGACGUAAACUCUGCUUAGACCAGAGGUAAGAGAAAUGGCAGCCGCUGGAGGGCCUGGGGGGCAACUGGCUAGGAAACAAAAGUUUAUUUUAGGUAAAGACAAGGCAAUCUAUGGUCCCUGGGGAGACAGAGACAGAGACAAAAGGAGUGCAAGUGAACUCAAAACGGGGCUAGGCAACCAGGGGCCUCGAGCAGACUUCCAGAUCGCAAAGCCCCACCGAUUUCGUUAAGCUACAUGACAUUUAGUAACACCUGAAUUUAAAAGCAUAUUCUUGUUCUUUUUUUAUUGGUUUCUUUCCAACAGUUAUUAGACUUUGGGGAAAAAUGGCCAGUUUACUGAUAUCAAUUCCUAGUAAAAGUGAUUUACAAAGAAUGCUCAAGGGCAGCAGUUCACGGGGCGAGAAGACGUCUCCGUGAGCCAGGAGGGUGCCCGGCUCACUGCACCGGGUGCUGGAGUGUGUCCCUGAACUCUGAAAGCCUAAGCCCACACACCUACCGCGGGUCUGGCCCGCACACGCGUGUGCACACCGGGUGUGCGUGUCUGCGCGUGUGCACGGCAUAUCCACUGGGGUGUGUGUGUCUGCACGUGUGUGGGGCAUAUGCACCGGGGUAUGCGUGUCUGCACAUGUGUGUGGUGUAUCC